GCAAGUCGAGCGGUAAGGCUUUCACAGAUUAUUUAAACGGUUAAGUCCCUCCUUGGGAUACUAACAAGACAACACACUCACUAGGCUAGUGAACAGUGGUUGAAUAAUGUGUGAAAGUACACGAGCGGCGGACGGCUGAGUAACGCGUAGGAACGUACCCCAAAGUGAGGGAUAAGCACCGGAAACGGUGUCUAAUACCGCAUGUGAUCCACGGAUCAAAGCCUUCGGGCGCUUUGGGAGCGGCCUGCGUAAGAUUAGCUAGUUGGUGAGGUAAUGGCUCACCAAGGCGACGAUCUUUAGCUGGUCUGAGAGGAUGAUCAGCCAGACUGGGACUGAGACACGGCCCAGACUCCUACGGGAGGCAGCAGUAGGGAAUUUUCCACAAUGGGCGAAAGCCUGAUGGAGCAACGCCGCGUGCAGGAUGAAGGCCUUCGGGUCGUAAACUGCUUUUAUGAGUGAUGAUUUAAGACAGUAGCUCAAGAAUAAGGGUCGGCUAACUACGUG
rnacentral:rRNA from 1 species